UACGAAGGGGGCUAGCGUUGUUCGGAUUUACUGGGCGUAAAGCGCACGUAGGCGGAUCUUUAAGUCAGAGGUGAAAUCCCAAGGCUCAACCUUGGAACUGCCUUUGAUACUGGGGAUCUUGAGUCCGGGAGAGGUGAGUGGAACUGCGAGUGUAGAGGUGAAAUUCGUAGAUAUUCGCAAGAACACCAGUGGCGAAGGCGGCUUACUGGCCCGGUACUGACGCUGAGGUGCGAAAGCGUGGGGAGCAAACAGG
rnacentral:rRNA from 1 species